rnacentral:rRNA from 1 species
GGACCCGCACAAGCGGUGGAGCAUGUGGUUUAAUUCGAAGCAACGCGAAGAACCUUACCAGGUCUUGACAUCCCUUGCUAAUCCUAGAAAUAGGACGUUCCCUUCGGGGACAAGGUGACAGGUGGUGCAUGGUUGUCGUCAGCUCGUGUCGUGAGAUGUUGGGUUAAGUCCCGCAACGAGCGCAACCCUUAUUAUUAGUUGCCAGCAUUUAGUUGGGCACUCUAGUGAGACUGCCGGUGACAAACCGGAGGAAGGUGGGGAUGACGUCAAAUCAUCAUGCCCCUUAUGACCUGGGCUACACACGUGCUACAAUGGCAUAUACAACGAGUCGCCAACCCGCGAGGGUGCGCUAAUCUCUUAAAGUAUGUCUCAGUUCGGAUUGUAGGCUGCAACUCGCCUACAUGAAGUCGGAAUCGCUAGUAAUCGCGGAUCAGCACGCCGCGGUGAAUACGUUCCCGGGUCUU